rnacentral:misc_RNA from 1 species
CACAAUAGACAUAUGAAGGCUGCACCGCCAACAGGCGGCAAGGCUGGAGUAUUUUAUUACCCUUGUCUUUUGCGCACUUGUUGUUUCCUGGGCGGGUUCGCCCGCCUCCAGGACCACAUGAUAAACCUUUUUUAUGCAGUUGCAAUCAGCGUCAGUACAACAAAUGUAAAUCAUUUA